UCUCCGUAGGUGAACCUGCGGAGGGAUCAUUACUGAGUGAGGGCUUCGUUUCUACCUCCAACCCUUUGUGAACCAAACUUGUUGCUUCGGGGGCGACCCUGCCGCUUCGGCGGUGCGGCGCCCCCGGAGGCCAUUAAACACUGCAUCAUUGCGUCGGAGUUAAAGUAAAUUAAACAAGACUUUCAACGACGGAUCUCUUGGUUCCAGCAUCGAUGAAGAACGCAGC
rnacentral:misc_RNA from 1 species